rnacentral:rRNA from 1 species
AUUGAACGCUGGCGGCAUGCCUUACACAUGCAAGUCGAACGGUAACGCGGGGCAACCUGGCGACGAGUGGCGAACGGGUGAGUAAUAUAUCGGAACGUGCCAUAGAGUGGGGGAUAACUAGUCGAAAGACUAGCUAAUACCGCAUACGAUCUAAGGAUGAAAGUGGGGGAUCGCAAGACCUCACGCUCUUUGAGCGGCCGAUAUCUGAUUAGCUAGUUGGUAGGUAAAAGCCUACCAAGGCGACGAUCAGUAGCUGGUCUGAGAGGACGACAGCCACACUGGGACUGAGACACGGCCCAGACUCCUACGGGAGGCAGCAGUGGGGAAUUUUGGACAAAUGGGGGCAACCCUAGAUCCAGCAAAUGCCGCGUGAGCGAUG